UCUUCUUCUCUUCAAAAAAUGGAGCCACCGAGAGAUACGGGUCCCCUCUCGCGCCCGCGAUGCCGCCGCCACCGUCUGCCGCCGUCCCGGCCAACGCUGGCCGCAUAUGACGCCGACACUCACCGGCGAAGCUGCGCCUUGGUCUGCUCCACUGGAUCCCCAUCCACGCAUCUUCGUUCCGCCCCCGAGCGCGACGCAGCGUCUAACCCUAGCCGGGGGGUUCGGCUCGGUCGCCGUCGCGGUUCCCGCGCCACCGCGCCUCCUGCUGAUCCCCUACGUCGUCUCUUGCUCCUCCUCGACGCCCUGUGCUCCUGCUCCUUCGCCUCUUUUGCGUGCGGCUUGGCGUGACCGUGUGGUGGCGCCGCCCGGUGGCGGUGUUGCUGCCGUUGCCGCUCUCGCCUCCUCUUCGAGGCUAUGCUCCUUCGACCGUUAGUGUAUCUCAACAAGCUCUGCCACCUCUCUCUCCUCUCUCACUGGUUUGUUUCGAAUGGUAUUACAGCCUGCCUACCAUGUGUUUGUGAAAAUGCUUCUUAGGCAUGGGCAAUUUAGGUCUGUCUUUUUUGUGCCGUUUACUUCUCAUGUUCGUUAGCAGAUAGGUUUGGUGGCGUAUUAUAGUGUAGAAUUAACAUGCGUUGUGCCACUUAUUGAGUUGAUUAAUGAAACAAUUGUGCUCCCCAUCCAUUCUUCAUGUACUCUGCGAGUAGGGUCAUCAACCAAUGGACAAUAGUAUGUUAAUUUGUUCCAGAAGGAAAACCCUACCGGUAGGUGCCUUUUAUAGUCUUCCUAUUCGCCAAAGUUGUGUCUGGUCAAUUCCUCAUGUAACUGUUAACAGAGAUUUCAUUUAGAUUUUAGUGAUUUAACAAGAUUCAGUCCCGUUUCUGAUGCCCUCUUCUUGCUAUCACCAAAAGUAGAUUAUCACUCUUGCUAUCAGUAAUUGUUUCCAUUCAUUCACUCAAAUUUAACGAACCGUAUUGCAGGGACUGCAAUCGAUUUGUUGUCCCCAAUCGUCAUUGAGGGAAAAGCUUGCUGGGAUCUGUACAUCGAUGGACUUGUCGUGUUCUGAUGGUAAUUUACUUGAUGCACUAGCUGUUGUGAUAAAGGUAAUAUGUGGUUUCUAUUGCUUCAGCAGAUGCAUCCCUUGUAAUUUCAAUUUAUAUAUUUUGAUGCAAGUGUUGGUGAUGCCAUAUUAACUUGACCUCAGCAUAUAUUUUGGUUAAGAAGUGUCAUCAAUUUUCUUACAGUCCAUUGUAGUGGUUAUUUAAAUUAAGAAGGUCAUAUUUGCCAUUGCUGAGAAAUACAUAAAAUGAACUAAUGGAAGACCUUUAUACCUCCCCAGUCCUCUUAAAAUAAAAACAAGAAUGAAAAAUUUGUUCAUAUACCUGCUUCUGUGUUCUGGAUCUUAUGCUAGCUGGCAGAGCUUGUUGAGGUUGUCCCUUAGCUAGGUUGGCUUGUGUAGAAUUAACAUGUGUUGUGCUGCCAUUUACUUACCUUCAUUAUAAUGGUCUUCUAUCUAUGCUUCACACAUGAGCUAUGUUUGCAUCAUAUGAAAUAUGUCUACCCUUUAAUCAUGCAGAAUAUUUCUAGAUUUAAAGGAUGGGCUAACCUACCGUUGCAUAUUUGUUGGGAAUGGACAUGUCUGGAUUCUAUUCUUCAAGUGCAUUGAUAGUUGUGUAGUGGUACCUAUAUUUUGACAUAUACCAACCUUGUUUUUCUAAAUCACUGAGAUGGUGUCUAUAAAAUCUUUGUACCUAUGGAUUAUUUACUUUGCUAUGUACUUUAAUUGUGAGAGAAACCCAAAAAAGGUGCCUUAGUAUAUUGGUCAUUGCCAAAAAAAGAGAGAGAGAAGCUGCACGGGCAAUAUUGAUCGACUGUAAACUGUAGUGAAGAUUAUAUGUAUAAUUUGUUUGAGACACGGAUAUAUAGUAUGUCCUGAUUUAAUUUAAUAAUUUCACUGUAGAAUUCCAACUGUGUCUGUCUCAUCACUAGUCAUCAGCAUGUGUUGCUGCAUUUGGAAAAUCAAACCUUUCUGUGGUAUGAAUUGUGUAUAAAGUGUGCAAUAAUGGUAGUGUAGUCUCAAACUUAGUUACAAUUUAAUUUCCUCCACAAUCUGUAGGUAUUACACAAUUUGUAUGGCAAUAGGCUGGUUUACUUUAUAUUUCUUGGAAAGAAUACAUGUUUCCCUUUAAUAUUCAUCAUAUGUAGUUGCCAACUAUUGGUACUGUGAAUUAUAUUAAGAUAAUUUGCAUGGUUUAAUAUCUUAAUCUUCUCUUCAACGAGAUGGUGAGCUCUUCCCUAUUUCCUAGUGGUGCUGCCGAUAAGCGAGAUGUACGUUUUGUUCCUUGGAUCUGCUCUGUUCAAACGUUCAUCCUGUUGUGGUCGUGGCACAUACUCCGGAAGCAAUUCAGUUCGCUCUAGGCCUUACCGAUGGCAUUGUUUAUAUCAUGAUUGGAAGCUUGCAGUUUUUACUUCAACUUUUAGUUGAAAACCUGAUAUUUAGAAUGUUGUGAAGUUACAUGUAUUACAUAUUUGUAAUGAUGUGAUAUAUAGAGUUCUGGAUUAUGUAUAUGUAUUACAGGGUUGAACA